CGUGCAUUUGUGUUGUCCGGUGUUUGAAGACGCUUUGGAAUUCGCUUUCAAUUUCUUUGUAGGAAAAAUGUCGGGUGAUACCGAUAAAGCGAAAAUCAGUGACAAUCAGGAUGAAGACAAGAAGUCUGCAACUGGUGACGGUCAAACAACAGAAGACGAGUCCUCACAAGACUCAAAGGGUGAGUCUCUGCAACAGCCAGAGGCCCAAGGUAACACCGAUGUAGAUCAACCAAAUACAAAAGAUGAAGACACCCAACCAGAUGCAGAAGGGGACUCAAAGUCGGCAACUGCUAACGGUAAGGACGACGCAGGGGCCGACGAAUCCAAGGACGACAAACGGGAUGUAAAAGCAGAUGGUGACUCUAAAAAGGAGGAAAAUGGUGAAACACACGAUGACGACGAUAAGGAUGAUGUGAAGGAGAACGACAAAGGAGCAAAAAAAUUGACCGCAAAGAAGAAGCCUAAGAAAGAGGAUACUGAGGAGGAGGAAGAAGAGGAUGAGGAAGAAGACGAAGAGGAGGAGGAAGGAGAGGAGGGGGACGAGGAAGACGAUGCGGAGGAUGACAAGAAAUCAAAGCCUAAAGAUAAAGUGAAAAAACCAGCAAAGAAAGCUAAGGAUGAGGACGAGGAAGGCGACGAAGAAGGAGACGAGGAGGGCGAAGAAGAAGAGGAGGAAGAGGAGGAGGAGGAGGCGCCCAAACCAAAACCCAAAAAAGAGCCACAAGAACCUCCCGUCCCCCUCCCAGCCGGCAAGGGCAUCCCCCUCGGUCACAUUAGCAAUGUGGAAGUCUCACUGUCACGGUUCAAGACUCAGGAUCAGAAAUUAUUGCACCAGUAUUUGUAUGGCCAAUUAUGUUUAGAUCGUAAUGUGAAACGUAAUAUCAAGAAAUUCAAAGGCUACGAAUGGGCAAUCGGCUCGACGGAGUACAAAGCGAAGCUGGACGAGACCACCAAGAUGGAGAUGAAGCAACUGCGCACCAUGUGCGAGAUGCUCGACCUUGAUAAGAAAGGUGGGGCCAGCGAGUUAGCGGGGCGAAUAGUAGCAUUCCUGCAACAGCCGGCCGCCAACUCUCCGCACGCUCGCGGCGUGGCCCGCCCGCCGCCCGCCGCCGCCCCCGCCUCCACACCCGGCGGUCGCCCGAGACGAUCCGCCGCUGUCAAGGUGCACAAUAGAGGUUACUCGGAUGAGGAGUAUGAAACUGAUCCAGAAACAAAAGUCAAAGGUCCAAAACCACUAAAGGAUGGAUCAGAAGACUCAGAUGGUUCAUUCAACCCCAGCGGUUCGGAAGAGGGUGACUCCGAUUUCGAUCCAGAAGCGGGAGAGAGUGCGAGUGGAGUCGGGCGCAAGCGUAAGAGUAGCGGACGCCGCCGGUCUUCUGGCAAACCUGGCAAGCGCGGACGCAAACCCAAGGGCAAGAAGGGCAAGGUAUCAGCUGUUAAAGGCCGCGGAAGACGACCCAAAUCAGAGAGUGAUGAAGAAAGUGAAAAGUCAGAGAGUGAGAGCGAACAGGAAUCUGGAAGCGAAGGAGAAGAAUCUGACGAGCCGAAGUCGAAGCGAGGCCGGCCGCCGGUGGCGGCGAAGGGACGCAAGGGUGCAGUGGCAUCCAAAGCCAGCGCCAACGCCAAGGCCACGCCGGUCAAGCGGAAAGCACCUACGCCGCCUGCAAAGAAAAAGCCAGCAGCGAAACCUGCCGGUCGACCAGCCAAAAAGGGUAAGAAAGCGUCAUCAGAAGAGGAAUCGGGCAGUGAAGAAGAGGAGGAGGAUGGAAGCGAGGAGGAGAGUGGCGAGGAAUCAGAUUCACCUUCUGAUAAGAAAGCAAAACGGCCGCCUACUGAUGAUGAAAUAAAGAAAUACGUGAAGCAAAUCCUCGAGGGCGCUAACCUGGAACAGAUCACAAUGAAGACGGUGUGCAAGCAAGUGUACAGCCACUAUCCGGACUUCGAUCUCGCACACAAAAAGGACUUCAUUAAGGCCACAGUCAAGUCGUGUAUUUAAGAUGUUAGGAGUUAAGGGUGGAGUGUAGAUGUCUGCAUAGUAUACCUAUAGUUUAUAUAAGGACAUAGUUAUAUAUUAUUACAAUAAUAAUAUAUUAUGAAAAAGUAAAUAACUGAAAUGCAAUGAAUGGAUAAUACAACUUUUUAUUUUAAGCUCAUAUCAUCGUGAGCAGUGACCAGUCGGCCGCAAAACAUAAAUAGUCAAGUAAGAUACGCAACUUAAACAUUUAGACUAAUACCCGACGCCGCGUCUGUGGCUACUCAUUUCUGUACCUUCAAUUGUUAUGCCAGUAAUAGUUACCGGUAAGAAUCACGAGUGUUGGUUGACUAAACAGCACAGAUGAGAUUUUGUAUGAAAUAAGGCUUCUGCACAAGUGCUCAAGAUUACUACCGGAGACUAUUGAUCUACUGGAUGAAAAAGCAGACAUUGAAAUACCUAUUUAGUGUAUUAAAUAAGCAUUGUGUUCAAGUAUUAUGUAAGCAGUUUUUAAUCAAAUUUAAACGUUGUUAUGUUGUUAAACGGUUUUAAAUUAAAAAACAUAUAUACUGUUACAUGUGUAAUAGUUUUUUUCUAAGUUUAAUAAAAGAAUAACUUUCGAUUUUAAAGUUGAUAAAGAAAAUUACGGCGACUUAUGUAAUGCUUGAAUGCACCCCUUUCAAUUAUAAUUAAUCACAGACGUCACAAUGAAGGAUCUGAAUUUUAAUUCGGUUAGAGACAUUUGACAAUUUUGUACGUAGUCGGCCACGGCGCGGUUUGGACUAUGUAAUUUUAUGUUGUAGGAAUAAUUCCCUCUAGUGUAAGUAUAAUCCGAGUUAAAUAACUCUAGAGCUUGUAAGGAGUUUUAUGUUCAUUGUGCCUGUAUCGGGGACUAUAAAGUGAUAUGCUAUCACGUUUCUUUAUAUUUUGUUGAGUUUGAAAUGUAACCCGUGCGCUGAGUGCCUUUCUACCAAAACUAUGAAUUGUUAUAUAUUUUUUAAACUUUUAUUUUCAUUUCUAGACAGACAGACAGUGUCGGGACCACAUUUUGUUGACUUAGCAUUCAGAGCACGGCUCACUUCGACGGCUCAAACUAAAGUACACGUUAUUUUUUAUGUAAAUUUCCAUUGUACAAAGUUCGGAUGCAUCCGUCGGUCGCGGUCGGCGUUUGUCGUAGAUUGACGGAGAUUGUUUUAAAAAUUCGGAAUGUAAGUUUAUUUUUAAUAUGAACCUAGGUUGUAAAAGUGUUCUUUUAACGCCUGGCACUAUCGCAAAAUUAAGCUAUUCAUAUUAAGAUCGUGUAAGUGUAUCUUAAGAGGUGUAAAUAAAUACACAGGACUUACAAUGUUUGGGGCUAUGUUCGUAUUGGUUGCGCGAGACGUGUUUUAGUAAAUACGGGAGAUUACGUGCCAGUAUCUUCCAUAUAUUUUUAUAUUUUGGCGUGAAAUUAUCGCGGACAAGACAACGGUCAAGUUUUCGAUGUUCCACAUAUAAGUUUAGGACUUGUCAUGUAAUGUGACAUGUAAUAAUUUCGAAAUAUAUUUUAAUUUCUAUACUUUUGUCGUUUCUCAUAGAAAUGAUUUUUAAUUUAAUUAAAUAAUUAUCGUAUUAGUUUUAUUGUGUUUGUCUUCAACGAUAUUGUAAUGUUAGGUUUGUAAUUGUUAUUUUUCAUUGAGAGGCAAUUUAUACAGAUCUAGAAUUGCAGUAUAAUAUAUGUAAGCGUUUUAAUAUUUGAAAACUUGCCGUCUGUUUUUCGCUAAAGUCCAACUUUAAAUAAAGUACUAGUUGUUAUGACUGGCAUCAGAUUAUUUUCAUUUCAUAAAACUGAUUGACAACGUAUUUAUAAUAUAGUGUAAUAAGAUUUGUUUAAAACACUUGGGAAUUUACUUGUAAUGAAAUAAUAUUGAAUAACCAUAUCAAUAUUUUUGUGGUCGUUUCUAUUCUGUUUCUUACAAUAUACUUAUAGUCUGGAUCAGCAUUGAGCCGUUUCAUUUACGUUAGGUGCUUUUACAGCAUUUCAAUUUGUAAUUUGUGGCCGAAAUAGUCGCUAAGUCCGAGGUGGAGCUACACUAGGAUAGUCGGAUUGAGCGAGCCGAGACAUGAACAAUGCGUUGUUUAAUACUGACGUUAUUUUGUCUAUAUUCGAUAUUUCACUAUUAUGCAACGCAUUAGAGGCACCCCUAUUUAAUAUAUAGGGCUGUCUAUUUAUAACGUUUUUUUAUUUACGUUAAUGUCCUAAUACAAUCUCUCGGUGCGCGCAAUCCUUUUAUUAUAAGCUAGAUAUAAUCAACAUUAAAUGUGUAUUUGUGAAUUUUUAACCUUAUUUCGGUUGAUGUUUCUUUAUAAAUGUGUAAAUGGUUGAGAUCAGUAGUGGCGUAGUGACACGGAGUGAUAGAGUGACUGGUACCCUCUUUUACAAUUGGAAUAUAGAUAAUAAAGUAAAUAAAAGUUUGA